CCUACGGGGGGCAGCAGUGGGGGAUAUUGCACAAUGGGGGGAACCCUGAUGCAGCGACGCCGCGUGGGUGAAGGAGCGUUUCGGCGCGUAAAGCCCUAUCGGCAGGGAAGAAGAUGACGGUACCCGACCAAGAAGCCCCGGCUAACUACGUGCCAGCAGCCGCGGUAAUACGUAGGGGGCGAGCGUUAUCCGGAUUCACUGGGUGUAAAGGGAGCGUAGACGGCCAUGCAAGCCUGGAGUGAAAGCCCGGGGCCCAACCCCGGGACUGCUCUGGGAACUGUGCGGCUGGAGUGCGGGAGGGGCAG
rnacentral:rRNA from 1 species